CCCCCACUGUGGAUCGGACCCACAACCUGGGAAUGUGCCCUGACGGGGAAUCGAACUGGUGACCUCUUGGUGCAUGGAUCAAUGCUCAACCACUAAACCGCAUGAGCCAAACAGGGCCGAUUUUUUUUUUGGAGGCUCUGAGGGCAAAUUCUUCUCCUUGACUUUCCAACUUCUAAAAACCACCUGCAUUCAUUGACUCAUUUCAUGUUCAAAAUACAGAAACCAACCUCUGCUUUUACAACAUCCCCUCCUCUGACACUGCCCCUCCUGCCUCUCUCUCAUGACGUCCCGUAUACCAAGCCCACCAGCAUAACCCAGAAUCACCUGCACAUCUCAAGAUCCUUCAUUUAAUCACAUCUGCUGUUGGGGCAAAGCCCCGAAAGUCUAAAUUCAGGAUCAAUUCCAAAGAGCUGACACGUAGCCUUCUUCACAUUCAUAAGAGCUUUAAUAGGAGAAACUUACAUAUAUGGGCAAAGCAGGUGCUUCCCGGUGGUGGGCUAGGAAAAAUCCCCACCCUCCCAGGACAGGAUCCCUUUUCACAGGGGGAUAAUAGUAAAGCCACAUGGUGGGUCGUCAUGUAGACCACCAGAAAGAACAAGGCAUUCUUAAGUUAACAGAUAACAUCAGGCAGAGAAUUAGAUAAUCAUUUCCCAGAGGCCUUUGCUGCUGGAGCCAUAUUACAUCUCUAACGUGAGUUCCCCCACACUCCACCCAGAUGGUAUACGGGUCCUUCCAUUCUACGCGAAGAUCUUCCGCAAGUUCCCUCGGACCCUUUGUACUGUAAUGGUUUGGAGUUUGAGGGAACAGCAACAUUAUCGUCCACAGAAGCCUAGCAUGAUCAACAAGCAGAUAACAACUACUCCUACUAGAGUCCCUUUCCAAGGCAGUAAUGAAGACUGAAUCCAUGCGGACAGAGGACCAAUUCCUCACUGUGGAACAGUAGAGAUUCGGCUAUUCCACGGGUCUGUCGGCAGCAGAAGAAGGCACCUCUCCCCAGACCCCGCAGUCGCUCUCGUAGCGCGGUGCCAACAAUGCGCGAGCCCAGGUGGCAAAUGGGUUCCCUUGCACACUAUGGCUGGAAAGACAAAGACGUUACCGGCCCGAGCAACGCAUCGUAAGCCUCAGGCAAAAAUACAGACUACGUUGUCAUCUCUACUAAGAACGGUGACUAGGGGCAGUUUCUGCCCUGGUUUACAAUUCCAUGUCCUUCAGCCAGGCUGCCAAGCUAGCGGGAUGCCAAGAUCUGCAAGUGAAACUACCUGAGGGCCCUACGGAGGCUGAGAGGGAGCCUGGGACAGAUAGAGUAGGAGGCAGAGAGAGGAAG